rnacentral:rRNA from 1 species
CAAGUCGAACGCUUUGUGGUUCAACUGAUUUGAAGAGCUUGCUCAGAUAUGACGAUGGACAUUGCAAAGAGUGGCGAACGGGUGAGUAACACGUGGGAAACCUACCUCUUAGCAGGGGAUAACAUUUGGAAACAGAUGCUAAUACCGUAUAACAAUGACAACCGCAUGGUUGUUAUUUAAAAGAUGGUUCUGCUAUCACUAAGAGAUGGUCCCGCGGUGCAUUAGCUAGUUGGUAAGGUAAUGGCUUACCAAGGCGAUGAUGCAUAGCCGAGUUGAGAGACUGAUCGGCCACAAUGGGACUGAGACACGGCCCAUACUCCUACGGGAGGCAGCAGUAGGGAAUCUUCCACAAUGGGCGAAAGCCUGAUGGAGCAACGCCGCGUGUGUGAUGAAGGGUUUCGGCUCGUAAAACACUGUUGUAAGAGAAGAAUGACAUUGAGAGUAACUGUUCAAUGUGUGACGGUAUCUUACCAGAAAGGAACGGCUAAAUACGUGCCAGCAGCCGCGGUAAUACGUAUGUUCCAAGCGUUAUCCGGAUUUAUUGGGCGUAAAGCGAGCGCAGACGGUUAUUUAAGUCUGAAGUGAAAGCCCUCAGCUCAACUGAGGAAUUGCUUUGGAAACUGGAUGACUUGAGUGCAGUAGAGGAAAGUGGAACUCCAUGUGUAGCGGUGAAAUGCGUAGAUAUAUGGAAGAACACCAGUGGCGAAGGCGGCUUUCUGGACUGUAACUGACGUUGAGGCUCGAAAGUGUGGGUAGCAAACAGGAUUAGAUACCCUGGUAGUCCACACCGUAAACGAUGAGUGCUAGGUGUUUGAGGGUUUCCGCCCUUAAGUGCCGCAGCUAACGCAUUAAGCACUCCGCCUGGGGAGUACGACCGCAAGGUUGAAACUCAAAGGAAUUGACGGGGACCCGCACAAGCGGUGGAGCAUGUGGUUUAAUUCGAAGCAACGCGAAGAACCUUACCAGGUCUUGACAUCCCUUGACAACUCCAGAGAUGGAGUGUUCCCUUCGGGGACAAGGUGACAGGUGGUGCAUGGUUGUCGUCAGCUCGUGUCGUGAGAUGUUGGGUUAAGUCCCGCAACGAGCGCAACCCUUAUUACUAGUUGCCAGCAUUCAGUUGGGCACUCUAGUGAGACUGCCGGUGACAAACCGGAGGAAGGUGGGGAUGACGUCAAAUCAUCAUGCCCCUUAUGACCUGGGCUACACACGUGCUACAAUGGCGUAUACAACGAGUUGCCAACCCGCGAGGGUGAGCUAAUCUCUUAAAGUACGUCUCAGUUCGGAUUGUAGGCUGCAACUCGCCUACAUGAAGUCGGAAUCGCUAGUAAUCGCGGAUCAGCACGCCGCGGUGAAUACGUUCCCGGGUCUUGUACACACCGCCCGUCACACCAUGAGAGUUUGUAACACCCAAAGCCGGUGGGGUAACCUUC